rnacentral:rRNA from 1 species
GAAACCGCGAAUGGCUCAUUAUAUCAGCUAUGGUUCCCAAGAUCGUACUUUACUACUUGGAUAACUGUGGUAAUUCUAGAGCUAAUACAUGCAGCAGAGCUCCGACCGCGAGGGACGAGCGCUUUUAUUAGACCAAAAUCAAACGGACCUCGUGUCCGUUAAAUGUGGUGACUCUGUAUAACUUAUCUGAUCGCACGGGCUUGUCCCGGCGACGUAUCUUUCAAGUGUCUGCCUUAUCAACUGUCGAUGGUAGGUUAUGCGCCUACCAUGGUCGUAACGGGUGACGGGGGAUCAGGGUUCGAUCCCGGAGAGGGAGCCUGAGAAACGGCUACCACAUCCAAGGAAGGCAGCAGGCGCGCAAAUUACCCACUCCCGGCACGGGGAGGUAGUGACGAAAAAUAACAAUACAAGACUCUUUUGAGACCUUGUAAUUGGAAUGAGUACACUCUAAGUCCUUUAACGAGGAUCCAUUGGAAGGCAAGUCCGGUGCCAGCAGCUGCGGUAACUCCAGCUCCAAUAGCGUAUAUUAAAGUUGUUGCGGUUAAAAAGCUCGUAGUUGGAUCUCAGUUACGGACGGGUGGUCUACCUACCGGUAGUUACUGCCCGGUCCGAACAAUGCCGUCGGUUUCUCUUGAUGAUCUUCACCGGUUGUCUUGGGAGAUCCGACAAGUUUACUUUGAAAAAAUUAGAGUGCUCAAAGCAUGCGUGAUGCAUGGAUAAUGGUGCAUGGAAUAAUGGAAUAGGACCUCGGUUCUGUUUUGUUGGUUUUCGGAACACGAGGUAAUGAUUAAGAGGGACAGACGGGGGCAUUCGUAUUGCGACGCUAGAGGUGAAAUUCUUGGACCGUCGCAAGACGAACUACU